rnacentral:snoRNA from 1 species
UGGCUCGGUUUCCUGGGGCGUGGACUCAGCCUGCCCACCUCCCCUCAGCCGAGCCUAGAGCAGAGAGGCCUGGCUUCCUCCCCCACAUUCACCUCACAGUG